AACAUCCUGCGAUGUACGUUACGGUUUUAAGUUGUUUUGAACCAAUGACUGUUUCACGGGAGACCAACAUGUCCGACGCGGCUGACAUGCCCUCGAAAAGGGACUUCAAAAACGUCGCUGAGGUCACCCACCUGCGAGAGCGGGUUUGAAACACUAAAUCGGACGGCAUUUGCGGGUUUUUA
rnacentral:other from 1 species